GACGAACGCUGGCGGCGUGCUUAACACAUGCAAGUCGAACGGAAAGGCCCCGCUUUUGUGGGGUGCUCGAGUGGCGAACGGGUGAGUAACACGUGAGUAACCUGCCCUUGACUUUGGGAUAACUUCAGGAAACUGGGGCUAAUACCGGAUAGGAUCUCCUGCUGCAUGGUGGGGGUUGGAAAGUUUCGGCGGUUGGGGAUGGACUCGCGGCUUAUCAGCUUGUUGGUGGGGUAGUGGCUUACCAAGGCUUUGACGGGUAGCCGGCCUGAGAGGGUGACCGGCCACAUUGGGACUGAGAUACGGCCCAGACUCCUACGGGAGGCAGCAGUGGGGAAUAUUGCACAAUGGGCGGAAGCCUGAUGCAGCAACGCCGCGUGCGGGAUGACGGCCUUCGGGUUGUAAACCGCUUUCGCCUGUGACGAAGCGUGAGUGACGGUAAUGGGUAAAGAAGCACCGGCUAACUACGUG
rnacentral:rRNA from 1 species